rnacentral:rRNA from 1 species
ACCGUGGUAAUUCUAGAGCUAAUACAUGCUAAAAACCCCGACUUCGGGAGGGGUGUAUUUAUUAGAUAAAAAACCAAUGCCCUUCGGGGCUCCUUGGUGAUUCAUAAUAACUCAACGAAUCGCAUGGCCUUGCGCCGGCGAUGGUUCAUUCAAAUUUCUGCCCUAUCAACUUUCGAUGGUAAGAUAGAGGCUUACCAUGGUCUUAACGGGUAACGGGGAAUUAGGGUUCUAUUCCGGAGAGGGAGCCUGAGAAACGGCUACCACAUCCAAGGAAGGCAGCAGGCGCGCAAAUUACCCAAUGCUAAUUCAGCGAGGUAGUGACAAUAAAUACUGAUACGGGGCUCUUUCGGGUCUCGUAAUUGGAAUGAGUACAAUCUAAAUCCCUUAACGAGGAACAAUUGGAGGGCAAGUCUGGUGCCAGCAGCCGCGGUAAUUCCAGCUCCAAUAGCGUAUGUUAAAGUUGUUGCCGUUAAAAAGCUCGUAGUUGAACCUUGGACCUGGCUGAUCUGUCCUCCUAAUCGAGCGCACGGAUUCGGUCGGGUCUUUCCUUCUGGGGAGCCCUAUGCCCUUCACUGGGUGUAGCGGGGAACCAGGACUUUUACCUUGAAAAAAUUAGAGUGUUCAAAGCAGGCCUUUGCUCGAAUACAUUAGCAUGGAAUAAUAGAAUAGGACAUCGGUUCUAUUUUGUUGGUUUCUAGGACCGCUGUAAUGAUUAAUAGGGAUAGUCGGGGGCGUCAGUAUUCAAUUGUCAGAGGUGAAAUUCUUGGAUUUAUUGAAGACUAACUACUGCGAAAGCAUUCGCCAAGGAUGUUUUCAUUAAUCAGUGAACGAAAGUUAGGGGAUCGAAGACGAUCAGAUACCGUCGUGGUCUUAACCAUAAACUAUGCCGACUAGGGAUCGGACGGUGGUUUUUUUAUGCCCCGUUCGGCACCUUACGAGAAAUCAAAGUUUUUGGGCUCGGGGGGGAGUAUGGUCGCAAGGCUGAAACUUAAAGAAAUUGACGGAAGGGCACCACCAGGCGUGGAGCCUGCGGCUUAAUUUGACUCAACACGGGGAAACUCACCAGGUCCAGACAUGCUUAGGAGUGACAGAUUGAUAGCUCUUUCUUGAUUGUAUGGGUGGUGGUGCAUGGCCGUUCUUAGUUGGUGGAGUGAUUUGUCUGCUUAAUU